UGGUCAUGUGCUGUGCAAGUUU
rnacentral:misc_RNA from 1 species